GACGAACGCUGGCGGCGUGCUUAACACAUGCAAGUCGAACGGAAAGGCCCUGCUUUUGUGGGGUGCUCGAGUGGCGAACGGGUGAGUAACACGUGAGUAACCUGCCCUUGACUUUGGGAUAACUUCAGGAAACUGGGGCUAAUACCGGAUAGGAGCUCCUGCUGCAUGGUGGGGGUUGGAAAGUUUCGGCGGUUGGGGAUGGACUCGCGGCUUAUCAGCUUGUUGGUGGGGUAGUGGCUUACCAAGGCUUUGACGGGUAGCCGGCCUGAGAGGGUGACCGGCGACAUUGGGACUGAGAUACGGCCCAGACUCCUACGGGAGGCAGCAGUGGGGAAUAUUGCACAAUGGGCGGAAGCCUGAUGCAGCAACGCCGCGUGCGGGAUGACGGCCUUCGGGUUGUAAACCGCUUUCGCCUGUGACAAAGCGUGAGUGACGGUAAUGGGUAAAGAAGCACCGGCUAACUACGUG
rnacentral:rRNA from 1 species